rnacentral:rRNA from 1 species
AUUGAACGCUGGCGGCAUGCCUUACACAUGCAAGUCGAACGGCAGCACGGGAGCAAUCCUGGUGGCGAGUGGCGAACGGGUGAGUAAAGUAUCGGAACGUGCCCAGUCGUGGGGGAUAACGUAGCGAAAGUUACGCUAAUACCGCAUACGAUCUAUGGAUGAAAGCGGGGGAUCGCAAGACCUCGCGCGAUUGGAGCGGCCGAUAUCAGAUUAGGUAGUUGGUGGGGUAAAGGCCCACCAAGCCAACGAUCUGUAGCUGGUCUGAGAGGACGACCAGCCACACGAGAACUGAGACACGGUCCAGACUCCUACGGGAGGCAGCAGUGGGGAAUUUUGGACAAUGGGCGAAAGCCUGAUCCAGCCAUUCCGCGUGCAGGAUGAAGGCCCUCGGGUUGUAAACUGCUUUUGUACAGAACGAAAAGGUUUCUACUAAUACUAGGAGCUCAUGACGGUACUGUAAGAAUAAGCACCGGCUAACUACGUGCCAGCCGCCGCUGUAA